GAUGUGUAGGAUAGGUGGGAGGCUUUGAAGUGUGGACGCCAGUCUGCAUGGAGCCGACCUUGAAAUACCACCCUUUAAUGUUUGAUGUUCUAACGUGGACCCGUUACCCGGGUUGCGGACAGUGUCUGGUGGGUAGUUUGACUGGGGCGGUCUCCUCCUAAAGAGUAACGGAGGAGCACGAAGGUUGGCUAAUCCUGGUCGGACAUCAGGAGGUUAGUGCAAUGGCAUAAGCCAGCUUGACUGCGAGCGUGACGGCGCGAGCAGGUGCGAAAGCAGGUCAUAGUGAUCCGGUGGUUCUGAAUGGAAGGGCCAUCGCUCAACGGAUAAAAGGUACUCCGGGGAUAACAGGCUGAUACCGCCCAAGAGUUCAUAUCGACGGCGGUGUUUGGCACCUCGAUGUCGGCUCAUCACAUCCUGGGGCUGAAGUAGGUCCCAAGGGUAUGGCUGUUCGCCAUUUAAAGUGGUACGCGAGCUGGGUUUAGAACGUCGUGAGACAGUUCGGUCCCUAUCUGCCGUGGGCGCUGGAGAACUGAGGGGGGCUGCUCCUAGUACGAGAGGACCGGAGUGGACGCAUCACUGGUGUUCGGGUUGUCAUGCCAAUGGCACUGCCCGGUAGCUAAAUGCGGAAGAGAUAAGUGCUGAAAGCAUCUAAGCACGAAACUUGCCCCGAGAUGAGUUCUCCCUGAGACUUAGAGUCUCCUGAAGGAACGUUGAAGACGACGACGUUGAUAGGCCGGGUGUGUAAGCGCAGCGAUGCGUUGAGCUAACCGGUACUAAUGAACCGUGAGGCUUAACCUUACA
rnacentral:rRNA from 2 species